CAAAACUGAUAUUUUUGUAAAAUAUUGUACAGAUCUCUCACUUGCCAGUUUAUACAAAGUCCACAGGAGAAUACAUCCAGUUGAGAAGCCACACCAUGGCAACAGGAGAGGGAUUCGAUUUGCUCAAGCGUUUUCAAAGAAGUUGUUACUUAGUUAUUGUUUCAUUAAAUAAAGACACAACAGUUAGCGAAAACGACACUGGAAAUGUUUCAGGGGGACAAACAAGAGAUGAACCUUGUUGUAGUUCAAUGCUUUAUGAAGUUCCAUCACCACUGAUGAGGAGCAGACUUCAAUAACUUCACAAAGCAGUGAACUACAGACAGGUUCAUCACUUACAUCUACACAAGAGAGAUUGUGUACAUUUGCAUUAGCUGCAUCUCUGCAACUGAAUGUGGAAAAUAUCCCAUUGAGGAGACAUCACUAUAUCAUUGAUGCAGUACAUGGUCAACAACAUUUGCUGAAGUACCCACGUUUCUGUUCUUCAUGUGACUGUCAUUGAUAUUUACAUCUGUGAAGGAAGUGAUGUUUUCAACCAUGUAUCUUUGUUUAUUAAUUUAUCAGCAAUUUAUACCAGAUGGUGCAGGACGGGGGUGAGAGCAAUUGAUUGGGUAAAGUGGCAGAUCCAGGAUAUUUUAUUAUCAGUGAAUGUUGAGAGAUGUUGUCAGUGUCAGGAAAGAUCAAGAUGUAAAAAUCUGACAUACAGUGCCUUGCAUAAGUAUUCACCCCCCUUCGACUUUUUCCCAUUAUGUACUGUUACUAACUGGAAUUCAAAUAGACUUAAAUAAACUUUUUCCCGUUUGAUCAACAAAACAUGCAUAGUACUUUGGAGGUGCAAAAUAAAUUUUAUUGUGACACAAACAAUAAUGAGAACAAAAAAGUUGACAUCUGUUGGGUGCAUAAGUAUUCACCCCCCUGUGUCAAUACUUGGUAGAACCCCCUUUCGCUGCAAUUACAGCUGCAAGUCUUUUGGGGAAUGUCUCUACCAGCUUUGCACAUCUAGAGAUGGAAAGGUUUGUCCAUUCUUCUUGGCAAAAAAGAUGAAGCUCAGUCAGAUUGGAUGGAGACCGUCUGUGAACCGCAAUCUUCAAGUCUUGCCAUAGAUUCUCUAUUGGAUUGAGGUCUGGGCUUUGACUGGGCCAUUUUAAGACAUUAACAUUCUUUAAUCCAAACCAUUCCUUUGUAGCUCUGGCUGUAUGUUUAGGGUCAUUGUCCUGCUGGAAGAUGAACCUCCGCCCCAGUCUCAAGUCUUUUGCAGACUGCAUCAGAUUUUCUUCAAGGAUUUCCCUGUAUUUGGCUCCAUCCAUCUUUCCCUCUAUUCUGACCAGUUUCCCUGUACCUGCUGAAGAGAAGCAUCCCCACAGCAUGAUGCUACCACCAUGUUUCACUGUUGGGAUGGUGUGCUCAGGGUGAUGGGCAGUGUUGGGUUUUCGCCACACAUAGCGUUUUGCAUUGAGGCCAAAAAGUUCAAUUUUGGUCUCAUCUGACCAGAGCACCUUCUUCCACAUGUUUGCUGUGUCUCCCACAUGGCUUCUGGCAAACUCCAAACGGGAUUUUUUAUGGAUCCCUUUCAACAAUGGCUUUCUUCUUGCCACUCUUCCAUAAAGGCCAGAUUUGUGGAGUAGACGACUAAUAGUUGUCCUGUGGAGAGAUUCUCCCACCCCAGCUGUGGAUCUCUGCAACUCCUCCAGAGUAACCAUGGGCCUCCUGGUUGCUUCUCUGAUUAAUUUUCUCCUUGUCCGACUCUUCAGUUUGGGUGGACGGCCUCCUCUUGGUAGGUUUGCGGUUGUGCCAUAUUCUUUUUUUAUUUUCUUAUGAUGGAUUUUAUGGUGCUCAGACAGAUGUUCAAAGCUCUGGAUAUUUUUUUAUAACCUAACCCUGCUUCAUAUUUCUCCACAACUUUAUCCCUGACCUGUUUGGUGAGCUCCUUGGUCUUCAUGAUGCUGUUUGUUCAGUAAUGAUCUCCAACAAACUCUGAGUCCGUCACAGAACAGGUGUAUUUAUACUGAGAUUAAAUUGCAGACAGGUGGACCCUAUUUACUAAUUAUGUGACUUGCAAAUGUGACUUGUGAAUGCAAUUGGUCGCACCAGAUCUUUGUGAGGGGUUUCACAGUAAAGGGGGUGAAUACAUAUGCACUCAACACUUUUCAGAUUUUUAUUUGUAAAUAAUUGUGAAAUCCAUGUAAUAUUUCCCCCCACUUCCAAAUGAUGCACUAUUUUGUGUUGGUCCAUUACAUAAACUCACGAUGAAAUAAAUUUUAAUCUGUGGUUAUACCAUGACAAAAUGUAGAAAAGUCCAAAGGGGGUGAAUACUUAUGCAAGGCACUGUAUUUGUGGUAAAGAAAUUUAUAGGAACUGUUAGAAGAAUUGUAUAUAAGUUAUCAUGUUUGAAUGUACUGCUGAUGCAAAGUGUGACUGUCUGACAUAGAGGUGCAGUCUGGCACCUCUUAGUUCAACAACAGGGCAACAACGCUUUCCAAGAAACCACAGACAGAUGCUGUCUAGUUUUCUACUUAAACAGGAAACACGCCUGGAAAGAUGUGAUGAUGAAGAUGUUUCACUUUUCUGUAUGCAAAUGUAACCCCACCUUGUUGUUGUAACUGAGCUUUCGAAUAAAUACGCUGUAUACGGGAAGUACCGUCGAAGUUGGCUGCGACCUACUCAAAGGUGCGGACUUCCCUUGCAAGUAAAAACUACGUACGAGUGUAUGUGUGGUGUUUGAUUCGUGAAUUCUUACAACAUUGAUACAUGUCUGGGUGAAAUUCCCUCGACAUUUUUGGUCCUUCGAGCCGGAUGCCAACAGAUCCAGACCAGGGGAGCGGAUCGAGAGAGAACUGAAGACUGUGCACAGCCCUUAGGACAAAGUCCUGUGGAGUGAAUUCUUCCCAGGCCAGUUCGACCUGACCUGUUCCUUGGACUGGAUUGACGGCAUCCGAACAAAAAGAAGACGAAUCAAACAGGUUCCAAAAGUGACUGUGGGAGAUUUCGUGUUCAUCAAGUCGAUAAAAAGGAAGCACUGGAACAGCCCACGGUGGGAGGGACCGCAUCAAGUGCUGCUCACAACACCCACUGCAGUAAAGAUCGCUGAGAGAGGAACCUGGAUACAUCUCUCUCACUGCAAAAAGGCAACACAGGAGACCGGUGACGCCACUGGUUAGGAGGGGAAGCCUGACUUCAAAGGGGGGUUACCUAAUAGUGGUGACUCGUCUCAACGUCAGUGAAGUAAACAACGAUCCCCUAACCGUUAGGGCAUUCACUGGAAACCUGGUAUUGUAUAAAAAAAAUGAAGUUACUGAGACUGUUUGCAGUGGGAGUAUGUUGUGUCCUUACAGGUUUGAUGCUGAUGAGAGAUGGAGAUGACACUGCAAGGAAGAAGAGAGAACUUCUGACUGGGCAUGACAUAAACCACAACAUAUGGUAUCGCAAUGCUAACUUGACAGCUUACAAAAGUAAUGUGACCAACUGUUACGUAUGUAGCUUUGUCCCACACCAUGCUAAUUCUAACCCGUUCUGGACACCAGAACCUGAGACUGAGGUUAACACUCUGUGUAUAGCAGCAUUCUGGUACAUGCAAGUGAUCGAGAAUGACAAAUACUUCACUCGAUGGCUUCCAAAUUGUACUAAGAGUCAACCUAUUAAAGAAUGGCGAGAUCCUAGAAACUACACCAAAAAGACUAACCAAACUAAUCUGGAGGGAAUAGCACCCGCCCGCUAUCCAACCAAAUCUCCUUUCUGUUUCUCCGUGACUUGUAGAGAGAGUUUAUAACGUAAUAAUUCCCGCUACCAAGUACUUGGGAAAGUCAGAUUGUUUGGUAACUCUAAAAGUAGCUAGUGACGCAGAUCAGAAUAAAGGAUAUUGGCAUCCACUGUACAGCGGCAGCUCUCCCAGUAAACCCUGUAACCACCUGGGUGUCCACUGCAACGUGGAUCACGCACCAAUAAAUUGGACAGCGGUCGGAGAAAGAGCUGAAAUACAGGGAUGGCAAAGCAUACCUUCUAUGUGGAUGUUUUUACCUGGCGAGAAUGGUUACCCCAGUCCAACCACUCAUGUGUGGGUAUGUGGCAAAGAUAUGUAUCUGUACCUCCCUAACAACUGGUGUGGAACUUGUCAUUUGGCUAGACUAGUUCCUGCAGUUGUAUUGAUUCCUGCAGCUGACGUCUCAAAGGCUAUGGCCAACACUCCAACACGAGUAAAACGCUCUAUGGAAGAAACAACAGUUAACAAAGACAAAGAACCAUUGAUAAACGAUGCAAGAGGUGUGUUCAUGACAAUCUUCCCAAUGUACGGUGUGGCAUAUUUGGCCCACAGGAUGAAUGAGAUGCACGCCGAUUUAGAAGACAUUGCUGAGUCUCUGGAGGGGGUCCUUAAACAUCUAGUGGAGGACCCUGAAAAGAGGGCAAUGCGAGCCAUGAUUCUGCAGAACAGACUAGCACUCGACUACCUAUUAGCUAACCAGGGAGGGGUGUGUGAACUCAUAGGUGACCAGUGUUGUACGUUCAUUCCUGACCCGACUAGCAAUCUCACCAAUAUGCUUAACAAAGUGACUGAAUUACGGAAGCACCUGACAGACAAAAAAGAUGGCCAGUGGAGUCCAUGGACAUGGGUGUCCUCUGGAGGGUAUCUCCAAAUCGUUGGAAAGAUCCUCAUUCCUGUUGGUGCUGUUUUGCUCUUGUUUUGUGUUUUCAUGAGCUGUGUGUUACCAUGCAUUCGAACAAUGGUUAACAAAGCUGUAGGUCAAUCUGUUACUGCUGUAAUGAUGAGUGAAGAGUAUUUGACUCUGCUUCACAGCCCUGACGGAGAUGGUGAUAUCGACCUUGAGGAUGAAGACACAGAACUGUAGCAACAUUGAAAGAUUUAACUUUUCCCUCUGAGUGUAAAUAAAAAUGAAGGUGUUAUGAAAAUGAUGGUCACGCAGAAAACUUGCAAAAGAGAUGCUAUGACUUGACAGAGAGGAUUUGACAUUCAUUAAUGAUAAACAGGAGGGAAAUGUUAGAAGAAUUGUAUAUAAGUUAUCAUGUUUGAAUGUACUGCUGAUGCAAAGUGUGACUGUCUGACAUAGAGGUGCAGUCUGGCACCUCUGAGUUCAACAACAGGGCAACAACGCUUUGCAAGAAACCACAGACAGAUGCUGUCUAGUUUUCUACUUAAACAGGAAACACGCCUGGAAAGAUGUGAUGAUGAAGAUGUUUCACUUUUCUGUAUGCAAAUGUAACCCCACCUUGUUGUUGUAACUGAGCUUUCGAAUAAAUACGCUGUAUACGGGAAGUACCGUCGAAGUUGGCUGCGACCUACUCAAAGGUGCGGACUUCCCUUGCAAGUAAAAACUA